rnacentral:rRNA from 1 species
ACGCACGCUGGCGGCAUGCCUCACCCCUGCCAGUCGCACGAGACCUUCGGGUCUAGUGGCGCACGGGUGCGUAACGCGUGGGAACCUGCCCUUAGGUUCGGAAUAACUCCCCGAAAGGGAUGCUAAUACCGGAUAAUGUCUUCGGACCAAAGAUUUAUCGCCUUUGGAUGGGCCCGCGUUGGAUUAGCUAGUUGGUAGGGUAAAAGCCUACCAAGGCGACGAUCCAUAGCUGGUCUGAGAGGAUGAUCAGCCACACUGGGACUGAGACACGGCCCAGACUCCUACGGGAGGCAGCAGUGGGGAAUAUUGGACAAUGGGCGAAAGCCUGAUCCAGCAAUGCCGCGUGAGUGAUGAAGGCCUUAGGGUUGUAAAGCUCUUUUACCCGGGAUGAUAAUGACAGUACCGGGAGAAUAAGCUCCGGCUAACUCCGUG